rnacentral:rRNA from 1 species
AACGAACGCUGGCGGCAUGCCUAACACAUGCAAGUCGAACGAGACCUUCGGGUCUAGUGGCGCACGGGUGCGUAACGCGUGGGAACCUGCCCUUAGGUUCGGAAUAACUCCCCGAAAGGGGUGCUAAUACCGGAUAAUGUCUUCGGACCAAAGAUUUAUCGCCUUUGGAUGGGCCCGCGUUGGAUUAGCUAGUUGGUAGGGUAAAAGCCUACCAAGGCGACGAUCCAUAGCUGGUCUGAGAGGAUGAUCAGCCACACUGGGACUGAGACACGGCCCAGACUCCUGCGGGAGGAAGCAGUGGGGAAGGAUGGAGAAUGGGCGUAGGUCUGAUACUGCAAUGCCGCGUGAGUGAUGAAGGCCGUAGGGUAGGAAAGCUCUUUUAACCGGGGCGAUAAUGACGGUACCGGGAGAAUAAGCACCGGCUAACUCCGUG